AGAAACACCAGGGAUACCUCCCCUCACCCGCUCCUUCUCUCUCUCUCCCUCUACCCCUCUCCCAUGAGAGGACACAGCCAGAAGGAGGCCAUCUGCAAGCCAAGGAGAGAAUCCUCACCAGCCAUGGAAUCUGUAGGCACCUUGAUCUUGGACUUCCAGCCUCCAGAGCUAUGGAAGCCAGCCGUCGGGGCACACACACAUUACAAGGAUCCCAGCCAGGCCCAGGAGGGGAAGCAAGGACACCCUAGAGGCAGAGGGCACUGGCAGGAUUUUUCAUGGGCCAAUCUGCUGAAUUCAGCCUAGGAGCUGAGGCCAACAUCUGAGUUUCCUCAGCACACAGGUUUGAAAGAAGUCCUAGCAACUUCAAGCUCAGAACCAUGGGUGGCAGUGGCUCUCUCUCCCUUUCCAGAGAGAGUCAAGGUUUGGAUCAAACAAAGCCCACAAGCACCAAUGACCGAGCUGCUGACUACUCCAACAUCUCCAACUCAACCUCCUCUUUCUGCCUCUACCCAAAUUUUAAAACUUUUAAAUAUGGGUUUAAAAAUGGUGAUGAGUAAAGUUGCAUCCAAAUGUAUCAAAUAAAAUUAAAUAUCCAUAAA